UGUUAAAACUUCAUCCAUUUUCACUGCUUAAAAUUAGCGUGGCUGAUAGAUUUUGACCAGAUAGUUACACUUGGUCUGUCACAUGUGCCUCAUUUUGACGUACAAUGACUGAUUUUUAAUAAUAAAAAUUGAUGAAACUUUUAACA
rnacentral:pre_miRNA from 1 species